rnacentral:lncRNA from 1 species
AAACUUUUUUUGCCACCCCUGGUUGUACCGAACCACAUCUGUGCUUGAAUCAUCUAUUUAACAAAAAAAAUGGAAAUGCAAUAAAUAUUUAAAAUAUAUUGGAUAUGCAAGUAACAAAAAAAAAAAUAAUGAAAAUGCAACUAACCUUACAAAUAAAUUAGAAGUGCAAGAAAAAUUAAGAAACAAUUGGAAAUGCAAGAAAUAUUAACAACAUAUUUAAAAUGCAAUAAAUAUUAACAAAAUAUUGAAAAUGCAAUAAAUAUUAACAAAAUAUAUAUAUUAUGAGAUUAAACUUA